CAGUUAGUUGCGGUUCAUUUCUUGAAUAGUAGAGUAGCAUCAAACAUCGCAUUUGAGUAGAAGUUGGUGCGGCUACCGUCGUGUACGGGCUGUAAUCAGCGAAGAAUUUAUCAUUCAAUCAAAUUAGGAUAAGGAAAAACACCAAGUUCUUUUCUCAAUUUGAUAUCAAACAUUUCGCGGCCAUGGUGUGGACAGAAUCCAACAGAAAGUUGGUGAAAAAUUACAAUUAACAUCAAAUGUGCUGGCAAGUGUGGGCGUAAAAGGUUUACCUCGGCUAGAAAUGAGCGAAAAAUAUCCUUUUUGUAUCCUAAAUAGACAGGCUUCUUCAAUAGUCAUAGUGGGACAGAUCCAGGAUGCCAGCAUUUCAAUAUUAGUGAGGUUAGCUGGGUGUCGAGCAAAAGAAUUGAGUUUUUCAUGUCAACGACUAUUCAAAAAUCACUUCUCACCCCUGCGAUGGUGAUAAAGCGGCUUAAUAGAUGCGAAUAAUAUUUGAAUUUGAUUGCUGGUGUUUGAAAAAGACCACAAAGAUUUUUUCUACUCUGAAAAAAAAAAUUAUAAAGGAAAAUUGCGGAUCUGUUAAAAAACUAUCUUAAAGUACACGUUUUUCUUGAAAACUUGGUCGCUGCAAUGACGAGCGAGGCGAACGUUUCUACCAAGGCCUUAAAAUGUUUGAAGCCAGAUACACAGGUUUCUGAGACGAAAGUAUGUUAGAGGCCACAGCAGCUCUAUUUUAAAAUAAUUAGAUCAAGAAUAUCAUAAGAAGAAUGAUAAAAUAUUUUGAAUUUUUUUCAGUUUAUAUUAUAUAAAAUAUGUUAUAUAUCUUGAGUUA